rnacentral:rRNA from 1 species
UACCAGCUCUCCGAGUGGUGUGGAUGUUUAUUGGGCCUAAAGCAUCCGUAGCUGGCUGGACAAGUCCCCUGUUAAAUCCACCGAUUCAAUCGUUGGUGUGCGGGGGAUACUGUUCGGCUAGGGGACGGGAGAGGCAGACGGUAUUUUCGGGGUAGGGGUGAAAUCCUAUAAUCCCGGGAAGGCCACCAGUGGCGAAGGCUGUCUGCUAGAACGCGCCCGACGGUGAGGGAUGAAAGCGUGGGGGAGCGAACCGGAUUAGAUACCCGGGUAGUCCCAGCUGUAAACGAUGCAGGCUAGGUGUUUGGACGGCCACGUGCCGUUCUAGUGCCGCAGGGAAGCCGUUAAGCCUGCCGCCGUGGGGAGUACGGCCGCGAAGGCUGAAAACUUAAAGGAAUUGGGCGGGGGAGCACCACGAAGGGGUGAAGCUUGCGGUUU